GAUGAACGCUGGCGGCGUGCCUAAUACAUGCAAGUCGAGCGAACAGACGAGGAGCUUGCUCCUCUGACGUUAGCGGCGGACGGGUGAGUAACACGUGGAUAACCUACCUAUAAGACUGGGAUAACUUCGGGAAACCGGAGCUAAUACCGGAUAAUAUAUUAAACCGCAUGGUUCAAUAGUGAAAGACGGUUUUGCUGUCACUUAUAGAUGGAUCCGCGCCGCAUUAGCUAGUUGGUAAGGUAACGGCUUACCAAGGCGACGAUGCGUAGCCGACCUGAGAGGGUGAUCGGCCACACUGGAACUGAGACACGGUCCAGACUCCUACGGGAGGCAGCAGUAGGGAAUCUUCCGCAAUGGGCGAAAACCUGACGGAGCAACGCCGCGUGAGUGAUGAAGGUCUUCGGAUCGUAAAACUCUGUUAUUAGGGAAGAACAAAUGUGUAAGUAACUAUGCACGUCUUGACGGUACCUAAUCAGAAAGCCACGGCUAACUACGUG
rnacentral:rRNA from 1 species